AGAAAGAGAAGCGAGGAGAGGGAAGGGGGAGAGAUGGGGUUGGAAGGGGCCCUCUUCGUGUGGCUCACUUCCUUCUUCCUCCUCAUCGGCCUGCUCGUUCUCAUCAUCUACCAGCUUAUGUGCUUGGCAGACCUAGAGUUUGACUAUAUCAACCCUUUUGAUUCAGCUUCAAGGAUAAAUAAAGUGAUCCUACCGGAGUUUGUGUUGCAAGGACUAUUAUGCCUCAUCUUCCUCCUGUCUGGGCAUUGGUUAAUGUUUCUAUUUUG
rnacentral:misc_RNA from 1 species